rnacentral:rRNA from 1 species
GACGAACGCUGGCGGCGUGCUUAACACAUGCAAGUCGAACGGAAAGGCCCUGCUUUUGUGGGGUGCUCGAGUGGCGAACGGGUGAGUAACACGUGAGUAACCUGCCCUUGACUUUGGGAUAACUUCAGGAAACUGGGGCUAAUACCGGAUAGGAGCUCCUGCUGCAUGGUGGGGGUUGGAAAGUUUCGGCGGUUGGGGAUGGACUCGAGGCUUAUCAGCUUGUUGGUGGGGUAGUGGCUUACCAAGGCUUUGACGGGUAGCCGGCCUGAGAGGGUGACCGGCCACAUUGGGACUGAGAGACGGCGCAGACUCCUACGGGAGGCAGCAGUGGGGAAUAUUGCACAAUGGGCGGAAGCCUGAUGCAGCAACGCCGCGUGCGGGAUGACGGCCUUCGGGUUGUAAACCGCUUUCGCCUAUGACGAAGCGUGAAUGACGGUAAUGGGUAAAGAAGCACCGGCUAACUACGUG